rnacentral:rRNA from 1 species
UACGUAGGGUGCAAGCGUUGUCCGGAAUUAUUGGGCGUAAAGAGCUCGUAGGCGGUCUGUCGCGUCUGGUGUGAAAACUCAAGGCUUAACCUUGGGCCUGCAUCGGGUACGGGCAGACUAGAGUGCGGUAGGGGAGACUGGAAUUCCUGGUGUAGCGGUGAAAUGCGCAGAUAUCAGGAGGAACACCGGUGGCGAAAGCGCUCUGCUGGACCUUAACUGACACUGAGGGACGAAAGCUAGGGGAGCGAAUGGG